rnacentral:rRNA from 1 species
UACAGAGGGUGCAAGCGUUACUCGGAAUUACUGGGCGUAAAGCGUGCGUAGUCGGUUAUCUAAGUCGGGUGUGAAAUCCCCGGGCUCAACCUGGGAAUUGCAUUCGAUACUGGAUAGCUAGAGUUCGGCAGAGGGAAGCGGAAUUUCGGGUGUAGCGGUGAAAUGCGUAGAUAUCCGAAGGAACAUCAGUGGCGAAAGCGGCUUCCUGGACCAGAACUGACGAUCAGGCACGAAAGCGUGGGGAGCAAACAGG